rnacentral:rRNA from 1 species
CCCGCCCAACGGGUGGGCGACCGGCGGAAACUGUUCGGCUUGGGGCCGGAGGACCCGAGGGGUACGUCCGGGGUAGGAGUGAAAUCCUGUAAUCCUGGACGGACCGCCGGUGGCGAAAGCGCCUCGGGAAGACGGACCCGACAGUGAGGGACGAAAGCUGGGAUCUCGAACCGGAUUAGAUACCCGGGUAGUCCCAGCCG